rnacentral:misc_RNA from 1 species
GAUGAAGAACGUAGCGAAAUGCGAUAAGUAGUGUGAAUUGCAGAAUUCAGUGAAUCAUCGAAUCUUUGAACGCACAUUGCGCCCCUUGGUAUUCCAUGGGGCAUGCCUGUUCGAGCGUCAUUUGUACCUUCAAGCUCUGCUUGGUGUUGGGUGUUAGUCUCGCCUCCGCGUGUAGACUCGCCUCAAAACGAUUGGCAGCCGGCGUAUUGAUUUCGGAGCGCAGUACAUCUCGCGCUUUGCACUCACAACGACGGCGUCCAGAAGUACAUUUUUACACUCUUGACCUCGGAUCAGGUAGGGAUACCCGCUGAACUUAAGCAUAUCAAUAAGCGGAGGA